GGCGCGUUGGCGGAGCGGUUACGCAGAGGUCUGCAAAACCUUUUAGACGAGUUCGACUCUCGUACGUGCCUCCA
rnacentral:tRNA from 21 species